UUCGGAUCUUUCUAGAGGCAUU
rnacentral:miRNA from 2 species